UGCGUUCCCGGGUCUUGUACACACCGCCCGUCACACCACGGGAGUUGGGGGCGCCCGAAGCCGGUUUGCUAACCUUUUGGAAGCGGCCGUCGAAGGUGAAAUCAAUAACUGGGGUG
rnacentral:rRNA from 1 species